UCGAAGGCGUUCCAUGAGAUCUUCCCGUCGCGGUCCCGCUUGAUCACGUAGACCCAUUCCUCCGCCACCCCGAGUCUCUUCCGGAGAGAGUAGAAGAAGUUGCCGGCGAGGAGGCGGUACCAGCGGCGGCAGACCAGGCGGAGAUUCCGGUGGUCGGCGCGGGGCACCCGGAUCAAGCAGGCGACGCCCAGGUCGUCGGGGAGCCCGGGGAGCAGCGGCAGCUGCAUCCGGCGGUCUCGCCGGGAGGCCUUGGACUUGGCCCCCUGCGGCUUGAUCUCUGGCUGGAGGCACAGCUUCGCCCCCGGGACGAACUUCCCGGCGCCGGCCACCGUCUUCAGGC
rnacentral:lncRNA from 1 species